rnacentral:rRNA from 1 species
GACGAACGCUGGCGGCGUGCUUAACACAUGCAAGUCGAACGGAAAGGCCCUGCUUUUGUGGGGUGCGCGAGUGGCGAACGGGUGAGUAACACGUGAGUAACCUGCCCUUGACUGUGGGAUAACUUCAGGAAACUGGGGCGAAUACCGGAUAUGAACUCCUUCUGCAUGGUGGGGAUUGUAAAGUUUCGGCGGUUGGGGAUGGACUCGAGGCUUAUCAGCUUGUUGGUGGGGUAGUGGAUUACCAAGGCUUUGACGGGUAGCCGGCCUGAGAGGGUGACCGGCCACAUUGGGACUGAGAUACGGGCCAGAGUGCUACGGGAGGCAGCAGUGGGGAAUAGUGCACACUGGGCGGCAGCCUGAUGCAGCAACGCCGCGUGGGGGAUGACGGCCUUCGGGUUGUAACCCGCUUUCGCCUGUGAAGAAGAGUGAGUGACGGUAAUGGGUAAAGAAGCACCGGCUAACUACGUG